UACAUGGGGUGCAAACGUUGCUCGGAAUUAUUGGGCGUAAAGGGCGCGUAGGCGGGCGCGACAAGUCACCUGUGAAAUCUCCGAGCUUAACUCGGACCUGCAGGCGAAACUGUCGUGCUGGAGUAUGGGGAGAGGUGCGUGGAAUUCCCGGUGUAGCGGUGAAAUGCGUAGAUAUCAGAGGAACACCUGCGGCGAAGGCGGGUUGCUGGGCUGACACUGACGUGGAAGCGCGAAAAGCUAGGGGAGCGAACGGGG
rnacentral:rRNA from 1 species